CCUACGGGUGGCAGCAGUAGGGAAUCUUCCACAAUGGACGAAAGUCUGAUGGAGCAACGCCGCGUGAGUGAAGAAGGGUUUCGGCUCGUAAAGCUCUGUUGGUAGUGAAGAAAGAUAGAGGUAGUAACUGGCCUUUAUUUGACGGUAAUAACUUAGAAAGUCACGGCUAACUACGUGCCAGCAGCCGCGGUAAUAUGUAGGUGGCAAGCGUUGUCCGGAUUUUUUGGGCGUAAAGCGAGUGCAGGCGGUUCAAUAAGUCUGAUGUGAAAGGCUUCGGCUCAACCGGAGAAUUGCAUCAGAAACUGUUGAACUAGAGUGCAGAAGAGGAGAGUGGAACUCCGUGUGUAGCGGUGGAAUGCGUAGAUAUAUGGAAGAACACCAGUGGCGAAGGCGGCUUUCUGGUCAGCAACUGACGCUGAGGCUCGAAAGCAUGGGUAGCGAACAGGAUUAGAUACCCCGGUAGUC
rnacentral:rRNA from 1 species